UACAGGGGGGGCAAGCGUUGUUCGGAAUUACUGGGCGUAAAGGGCUCGUAGGCGGCCGGCUAAGUCCGACGUGAAAUCCCAAAGCUUAACUUUGGAACUGCGUCGGAUACUGGAUGGCUUGAAUUCGGGAGAGGGAUGCAGAAUUCCAGGUGUAGCGGUGAAAUGCGUAGAUAUCUGGAGGAAUACCGGUGGCGAAGGCGGCAUCCUGGACCGACAUUGACGCUGAGGAGCGAAAGCUAGGGGAGCAAACGGG
rnacentral:rRNA from 1 species